AGUCUUUCUCUCUCUUCAUCGGCACAUGCUUGUGUGCACGUUUAGGAAGUCUGUGUGCUGAUUUGGUUUUAAACACGAUGCGUGAAUCCACAAUCCGAUCGCAACGGAUCCAGACCAACGUGAUCGACACUGGAUGAUGUAUGAUGGAGUCUUUACUCGCGCGUUAACAGCUCUCAUUGAAGAGAUGCUCCUCAAGAUCUUCACCAGAAUGCUGGCCUGACUAUUGAUCAGAGCUUCUGCUAGAGCCGGUCCGAGGUCUUUGAUGCCAAAACCUCUUCAUGUGACCUAAACCACAGUUUGCUGGGCCAGAAUCCUUCUGUUUUAGGAAUGAAUAUUCCUUGCGUUACUAAGAUGACUGGAGAGAUGUUCAACAGACCACAACAAAACUCAAAUGCUUGUAUUUAUUAAAGUAUCAAAGUUGUCAAUAAAUGAAUAUAAAAUGUU